rnacentral:rRNA from 1 species
CCUACGGGGGGCAGCAGUGAGGAAUAUUGGUCAAUGGACGCAAGUCUGAACCAGCCAAGCCGCGUGAGGGAUGACUGCCCUACGAGUUGUAAACCUCUUUUGUCCGGGGGCAAUAACAGAUACGUGUAUCUCAUUGAGAGUACCCUACGAAAAAGCAUCGGCUAACUCCGUGCCAGCAGCCGCGGUAAUACGGAGGAUGCGAGCGUUAUCCGGAUUUAUUGGGUUUAAAGGGUGCGUAGGCGGAUGUGAAAGCCAGUGGUAAAAUUCCGGGGCUCAACCCAGGAUUGCCGUUGAAACUGGAUGCCUUGAGUACGUGAGAAGGAGGCGGAAUGCGUGGUGUAGCGGUGAAAUGCAUAGAUAUCACGCAGAACUCCGAUUGCGAAGGCAGCAUACCAGGG